rnacentral:rRNA from 1 species
UACGUAGGUGGCAAGCGUUGUCCGGAUUUAUUGGGUUUAAAGGGUGCGUAGGCGGUCUAUUAAGUCAGCGGUGAAAUACUCCAGCUUAACUGGAGGGGUGCCAUUGAUACUGAUGGACUUGAGUCAAGUCGAGGUAGGCGGAAUUGACGGUGUAGCGGUGAAAUGCGCAGAUAUCAGGAGGAACACCGGUGGCGAAGGCGGGUCUCUGGGCCGAUACUGACGCUGAGGAGCGAAAGCGUGGGGAGCGAACAGG